AGUAGANUUUCCAGGUGUAGCGUGAAUGCGUAGAGAUUCUGAAGGAANUACCGAUGGCGAAGNNAGCUUCUCUGGCAUCAUACUGACACUGAAGCUCGAAAGCGUGGGUAGCAAACAGGAUUAGAUACCCUGGUAGUUCACGCCGUAAACGAUGUCUACUAGUCGUUGGUCCCUUGAGGACUUAGUGACGCAGCUAACGCAAUAAGUAGACCGCCUGGGGAGUACGGCCGCAAGGUUAAAACUCAAAUGAAUUGACGGGGGCCCGCACAAGCGGUGGAGCAUGUGGUUUAAUUCGAUGCAACGCGAAGAACCUUACCUGGUCUUGACAUAUCUAGAAUCCUGCAGAGAUGCGGGAGUGCCUUCGGGAAUUAGAAUACAGGUGCUGCAUGGCUGUCGUCAGCUCGUGUCGUGAGAUGUUGGGUUAAGUCCCGCAACGAGCGCAACCCUUGUCCUUAGUUACCAGCGGGUUAACCCGGGAACUUUAAGGAUACUCCCAGUGCCAAACUGGAGGAAGGCGGGGAGGACGUCAAGUCAUCAUGGCCCUUACGACCAGGGCUCCACACGUGUUCCAAUGGUAGGUACAGAGGGCAGUUACACAGCGAUGUGAUGCGAAUCUCAAAAACCCUAUCGUAGUCCAGAUUGGAUUCUGCAACUGGACUCCAUGAAGUAGGAAUCGUUAGUAAUCGCGGAUCAGAAUGCCGCGGUGAAUACGUUCCCGGCCCUUGUACACACCCCCCGUCACACCAUGGGAGUUGAUCCACCAGAAGUGGAUAGCUAACCCUUCGGAAGGCGUCACCAUAGAGUGAUGAGU
rnacentral:rRNA from 1 species